rnacentral:rRNA from 1 species
AGAAUCAACGCUGGCGGCGUGCCUAACACAUGCAAGUCGAACGCGAAAGGGGAGCAAUCCCUGAGUAGAGUGGCAAACGGGUGAGUAACACGUGGGUGACCUGCCUCAGAGUGGGGGAUAACGUCCCGAAAGGGACGCUAAUACCGCAUAACAUCCUGCCUUUGGAAAGGCGGAGAUCAAAGCCGGGAUCGCAAGACCUGGCGCUUGGAGACGGGGCCGCGUCUGAUUAGCUAGUUGGUAGGUAAUCGGCCUACCGAAGGCAACGAUCAGUAUCCGGCCUGAGAGGGCGACGGACACGCGUAGGACUGGAGACGACGGCCAGUACUCCGUACGGG